GGCUGUGGGAUGAUCUGACUAUGACAUCGGCAAUUCCAUUGAUUACCCCAGUUGAUGGGGCUGAUCUGGCUGACUAGCAGGUGUCCCUUCUUCCCUCACCACUCCAUGUGCCUCCCUCCUGAAGCUUCUGGGAGCUUAGCUGAAGAGAAUGAACUGCCCUGGUAGAGGGGGGUCUUCAGUCAAGGGUAUGUGAGGAGCUGCACUCCCCUGCUAGAACCUCCAAACAAGCUCUCGAGAAUCAUGAUGACAGUGGACUACCUUAAUGUGACAACAGGAAUUCUUCC
rnacentral:snRNA from 1 species